UGGUCCCUACGGGGGGCAGCAGUGAGGAAUAUUGGUCAAUGGCCGGAAGGCUGAACCAGCCACGUCGCGUGAGGGACGACUGCCCUAUGGGUUGUAAACCUCUUUUAUAAGGGAAGAAUAAAUGCUACGUGUAGCAUGAUGCCUGUACCUUAUGAAUAAGCAUCGGCUAACUCCAUGCCAGCAGCCGCGGUAAUACGGAGGAUGCGAGCGUUAUCCGGAUUUAUUGGGUUUAAAGGGUGCGUAGGCGGUUUUUUAAGUUAGUGGUUAAACGUCGGGGCUUCACCUUGUUUUGCCCUUAAUACUGU
rnacentral:rRNA from 1 species